AAGGCUGAGGCGUGAUGACGAGGCACUACGGUGCUGAAGCAACAAAUGCCCUGCUUCCAGGAAAAGCCUCUAAGCAUCAGGUAACAUCAAAUCGUACCCCAAACCGACACAGGUGGUCAGGUAGAGAAUACCAAGGCGCUUGAGAGAACUCGGGUGAAGGAACUAGGCAAAAUGGUGCCGUAACUUCGGGAGAAGGCACGCUGAUAUGUAGGUGAAGCGACUUGCUCGUGGAGCUGAAAUCAGUCGAAGAUACCAGCUGGCUGCAACUGUUUAUUAAAAACACAGCACUGUGCAAACACGAAAGUGGACGUAUACGGUGUGACGCCUGCCCGGUGCCGGAAGGUUAAUUGAUGGGGUUAGCG
rnacentral:rRNA from 1 species